AAAGGUAUAGCUCAGUGGUAGAGUGCAUGCUUAGCAUGCACGAGGUCCCAGGUUCAAUCCCCAGUCCCUCCA
rnacentral:tRNA from 1 species